rnacentral:rRNA from 1 species
GAAACUUAAAGGAAUUGGCGGGGGAGCACAGCAACGGGUGGAGCGUGCGGUUUAAUUGGAUUCAACGCCGGAAAGCUCACCGGAGGCGACGGCUACAUGAAGGCCAGGCUGAUGACCUUGCCUGAUUUUCCGAGAAGUGGUGCAUGGCCGCCGUCAGUUCGUACCGUAAGGCGUUCUGUUAAGUCAGACAACGAACGAGACCCUCAUCUUUAAUUGCAACCAGUAAGUCCGCUUAUUGGGCACAUUAAAGAAACCGCUGGCGAUAAGUCAGAGGAAGGCGAGGGCAACGGUAGGUCAGUAUGCCCUGAAUCCUCCGGGCUACACGCGCGCUACAAAGGAUAGGACAAUAGGCUUCGACACCGAGAGGUGAAGGUAAUCCUGAAACCUAUUCGUAGUUCGGAUCGAGGGUUGAAACUCACCCUCGUGAAGCUGGGAUCCGUAGUAAUCGCGGAUCAACAUCCCGCGGUGAAUAUGCCCCUGCUCCUUGCACACACCGCCCGUCAAACCAUGCGAGUUGGGUUUGAGUGAGGAUGCAGUUAUUGCUGCGUUCAAACUCAGGGUUGGCAAGCGGGGUUAAGUCGUAACAA